GCGGCGGACGGGUGAGUAAUGCCUAGGAAUCUGCCUGGUAGUGGGGGAUAACGUCCGGAAACGGACGCUAAUACCGCAUACGUCCUACGGGAGAAAGCAGGGGACCUUCGGGCCUUGCGCUAUCAGAUGAGCCUAGGUCGGAUUAGCUAGUUGGUGGGGUAAUGGNNCACCAAGGCGACGAUCCGUAACUGGUCUGAGAGGAUGAUCAGUCACACUGGAACUGAGGCACGGUCCAGACUCCUACGGGAGGCAGCAGUGGGGAAUAUUGGACAAUGGGCGAAAGCCUGAUCCAGCCAUGCCGCGUGUGUGAAGAAGGUCUUCGGAUUGUAAAGCACUUUAAGUUGGGAGGAAGGGCAGUAAAUUAAUACUUUGCUGUUUUGACGUUACCGACAGAAUAAGCACCGGCUAACUCUGUGCCAGCAGCCGCGGUAAUACAGAGGGUGCAAGCGUUAAUCGGAAUUACUGGGCGUAAAGCGCGCGUAGGUGGUUCGUUAAGUUGGAUGUGAAAUCCCCGGGCUCAACCUGGGAACUGCAUUCAAAACUGACGAGCUAGAGUAUGGUAGAGGGUGGUGGAAUUUCCUGUGUAGCGGUGAAAUGCGUAGAUAUAGGAAGGAACACCAGUGGCGAAGGCGACCACCUGGACUGAUACUGACACUGAGGUGCGAAAGCGUGGGGAGCAAACAGGAUUAGAUACCCUGGUAGUCCACGCCGUAAACGAUGUCAACUAGCCGUUGGGAGCCUUGAGCUCUUAGUGGCGCAGCUAACGCAUUAAGUUGACCGCCUGGGGAGUACGGCCGCAAGGUUAAAACUCAAAUGAAUUGACG
rnacentral:rRNA from 1 species